rnacentral:pre_miRNA from 1 species
AAAAUACUCACUCCGUUUAAAAAAACUGGUCCCUUAAAUGGAUGUAUCUAGCAUCAAGUUAGUGCUAGAUACAUCCAUUUGAAAGCUAGGUUUGGGACAAGUUUUUUCGAAUGGAGAAGUAGUUG